AUUUUCUUUUUAUAAAUUCAAAUU
rnacentral:misc_RNA from 1 species